rnacentral:rRNA from 1 species
AGUGAUCGCUGGCGGUAGGCCUAACACAUGCAAGUCGAACGGCAGCACAGUAAGAGCUUGCUCUUACGGGUGGCGAGUGGCGGACGGGUGAGGAAUACAUCGGAAUCUACUUUUUCGUGGGGGAUAACGUAGGGAAACUUACGCUAAUACCGCAUACGACCUACGGGUGAAAGCAGGGGAUCUUCGGACCUUGCGCGAUUGAAUGGGCCGAUGUCGGAUUAGCUAGUUGGCGGGGUAAAGGCCCACCAAGGCGACGAUCCGUAGCUGGUCUGAGAGGAUGAUCAGCCACACUGGAACUGAGACACGGUCCAGACUCCUACGGGAGGCAGCAGUGGGGAAUAUUGGACAAUGGGCGCAAGCCUGUUCCAGCCAUACCGCGUGGGUGAAGAAGGCCUUCGGGUUGUAAAGCCCUUUUGUUGGGAAAGAAAAGCAGCAGGUUAAUACCCCGCUGUUCUGACGGUACCCAAAGAAUAAGCACCGGCUAACUUCGUG